rnacentral:rRNA from 1 species
AGUGAACGCUGGCGGUAGGCCUAACACAUGCAAGUCGAACGGCGGCACAGUAAGAGCUUGCUCUUACGGGUGGCGAGUGGCGGACGGGUGAGGAAUACAUCGGAAUCUACUUUUUCGUGGGGGAUAACGUAGGGAAACUUACGCUAAUACCGCAUACGACCUACGGGUGAAAGCAGGGGAUCUUCGGACCUUGCGCGAUUGAAUGAGCCGAUGUCGGAUUAGCUAGUUGGCGGGGUAAAGGCCCACCAAGGCGACGAUCCGUAGCUGGUCUGAGAGGAUGGAUAGCCACCCUGGGACUGGGAACAGGGUCAGACCUCCUAGGGGAGGAGCAAGGGGGGAAAUUUGGACAUGGGGGGAAAGCUUAUCCAACCAUACCGCGGUGGGGAAGAAGGGCCUCGGGUUGGUAAGGCCCUUUUUUUGGAAAGAAAAAGCGGAAGUUUAUUACCCCGCUGUUCUGACGGUACCCAAAGAAUAAGCACCGGCUAACUUCGUG